UACAGAGGUCUCAAGCGUUUGUUCGGAUUCAUUGGGCGUAAAGGGUGCGUAGGCGGCGCGGUAAGUCGGGUGUGAAAUCUUGGAGCUUAACUCCGAAACUGCAUUCGAUACUGCCGUGCUUGAGGACUGGAGAGGAGACUGGAAUUUACGGUGUAGCGGUGAAAUGCGUAGAUAUCGUAAGGAAGACCAGUGGCGAAGGCGGGGUCUCUGGACAGUUCCUGACGCUGAGGCACGGAAGGUCAGGGGGAGCAAAACGGGG
rnacentral:rRNA from 1 species